CUUAUUGAUGGCUCAACAUUAAAGUACUUUACAAGUACAUAUAAUAUUUAAAUUGGUUAUGUAAUUAGUGCAUUAAUGCUUAACCCCAUGAAUAAUGUACA
rfam:Saguinus imperator haplotype 1 D-loop, partial sequence; mitochondrial.